rnacentral:rRNA from 1 species
UACGUAGGGUGCAAGCGUUAAUCGGAAUUACUGGGCGUAAAGCGUGCGCAGGCGGUUUUGUAAGUCUGUCGUGAAAGCCCCGGGCUCAACCUGGGAACGGCGAUGGAGACUGCAAGGCUUGAAUCUGGCAGAGGGGGGUAGAAUUCCACGUGUAGCAGUGAAAUGCGUAGAGAUGUGGAGGAACACCGAUGGCGAAGGCAGCCCCCUGGGUCAAGAUUGACGCUCAUGCACGAAAGCGUGGGGAGCAAACAGG